UUGUAUCAGCAAUGUAAGCGCUCGGCUUCUUCUUAUCCUUCCUCAGACUCUGAACCAGGUUUGUAGGGUCAGAGUCGAAGUAGUGGCUCACGUCAGUCAAGGAAAUCUCGGAAGAAUCCAAGUUCUGGAACGUGACUUCUGCAGUGCUGAGAGCCAUCUCAAAGACCUGCUUCUUUUCAGCCAUUCCUGCUCCAGGAGCAUCACUAUCAAACGCAAACGACUUCCGGCUCAGAUACAUGUCCUGAAGCUGUUUCUCAUCGUUCCAUGUAGAGUUCUCAACAGCAAGGUUGAUGUUGGAUGAGUAUGACCCUGAGGCGUUUGAGAAUACUCUUGUCGCUGCCUCCC
rnacentral:lncRNA from 1 species